rnacentral:lncRNA from 1 species
AUUAAAACAACACGUGUAAUCACUAAAAUAAAAGAAGCAGCAGCCAAAAAUGGAGGUAAAAGCACUGAAAGAUAAACACAUAGGAAACCACAAUGCGAGCUAUAAUAAACUGUGGGGGAAGCGAUUAUAGAUAAAAAUAAAAAAUAAUAAAAUAAUAAAGCACGUUUCUAGUUAUUUCUAACCAGCAUACCCGAUUGAAAAACCUUCUUCAUGCAACUCAACCAGAAAGCUAACGAUAACGAAGUAUGCUCAAAUAUCAUAGCCCUAACAAAAAAAUGAUCAUCCCAACACUUAGAGACCGCCUAUUGAGCAAAUAGUAACAAUAUAGAUAAUAUGAAAAUUGCUGAUAUCAAAAAUAAUUUUUUUAAAAAUAUAAAAAAUAUUAUUUUGAUGCAUUUUUAAACGAAAAACACUUUAAACCGUCAUAACUACCACAAUCUCAAACACACAAUGUCUGACCAAAACACACCAGUUAGUAAAAACUAGAUUGACAAUAAAACAUGAAAAACUCAAAGAUAAAUGCCAAAACCCUUGUUUCGUUAUAGAGUUACGGUAAAUUAAUCUUGAAUUAAGCAAUGGAAUAACACAAUGACUAAAAUUGAAUACAAAGGCAAACUCAUUCAACAUUUUAGAAUAAAAAUAUAUAGAAAAGAACCUUGUCUUACUAAAGCUUCUAGCAUUUCAAGUCUGCUCAAACAGCUUUCUUACAGGAACAUACUUCUUGAAAAUAGCAAGAUCAUUCAGUGUGUCAACCAAACAAGUUUAAUUUUUUAAAUCAUUAUAAUAAAUUAAAAAAUUAAAUACUGUAAGUAAGUUGUCAAAACUAAAAGAGUGUGUCUUCCUUUCCCAUACCUAGGAACGAGUCUGUAUUUUAAAGCUAACUAUAAUUGCACACCAACUUCACCACGGGUCCCCACAGCCAUUCAAAAAAAAAAAAAAACAAAGAGAACAAUAUCAAAGUACCACAGGUAACAAUCGAGCAAAGUAAUGCUCUGACACAAGAGAAGCUCAAAUGGUAACUAAAACAAAGCAAUGUUCAAACGUAAGAGAAGCAAAUGACAACUAAUAUCUUUAAUUAAGCCUAAUUUAGAGAACAAUAAAGUUUAAUUUCAGUGCCAAACUCACAAGUCUAAUUUACAAAAAUAAACUAUCUUUAAUGAAGUCAGAAAAUUCAUUAUAAGACAAUGUUUAAAGAAAAAGAUUUUUAGUACAUUAACUGAAAAUAAACACUAAUAAUAGCAUGAUACUCUAAGUCACAUACUCCUAGGACUCUUUAUCAAUCAAACCCUAUAAAUUAAGCAUAGAAAACCAUGCAAAAUUCUUCAAAAGAGGACAAACAUGGAUAAACAAUGCUGGAAAAACAAAACCCUAAAUACUUACUUCCUUUUGGAAUAAGUCAAUGUAUUAAAAGGGCUAACCAAAAGAUAGUAAAAAACAAGAUAUACAAAAGAAAAGUAGAAAGAAUAAAAAAAGAAACACAAAAAUAGAGAGCAGAUAAAAAAAAAAGCCAACAGAUACAUAACAGAAAAAGAAUAUCAGGAUUGAAGGAGCUAAUGCGCCAUGCUUAAAGUCUUGAUUUGAUAUUGUUAGACCAAUCUAUAAUACCUCUAGGCUCCAUAAUUAAAUCAGUGUCAGUAACCAUAAAAAACUUACCUGCAAACUUGAGCCAAUUCGAGAAAUGAUAUAGAAUUAAAGAGAAACUGUCUUCAAAGAUCAUAGUUCCAUUAUUGAAGAUAACUUUGUUCCUCAUAAACCAUAUACUCCAGCUAACACAACAAGAAAGCAUAGACCAAGCCUUAUGCUGGAAUUUUCCAAACACUAGGUUGGCCCACUAAUAUAAUAAAUCAUCCACACAGCAGGAAAGACAACCAUUAAUACCCCACCAAUCCAAGAAUUUCAUCCAUAAUUUUCAUAUCGGUCUACAAUGAAGGAGAAGAUGAUUUGAAGUCUCAAUCUCAUUUUCACAAAAAAUACAAACGGCUUGAUCAACUAGGAUUAUAUUACGGCAAAGUAAGAAUUCCUUAGUGCAUAAUCUAUUCUGAACAACUAGCCAAAGAAAAGAUUGAACUUAAGAGGGAUCCUUUUUAGCCAUAUUGAAGCCUUAAAAGUUCUAAGCCCCGGAUUCACAAUUAUGUCAAUAAAUAAAAAACAAGUUUUAACUGUAUAACCUCCAUUUGCUGAUGAGGAUCAAAAUUUCUUAUCUGAAGUUGUUUCCUUUAGCCGAAAGCUUUCUAGAGAUGAGAGAAGGUAGACGACCUGUUCAGUUUCGAAGAGGAACAAUUGUCUCAUCCAAACCCCUAAGUACUUGAUUGCAACCUAAUGAAAUCCAUAACGAAAGGACCAAGAAAACCCUAUAUAUUAGCCAAAACCUAAAGAAAUUCAAAGAACACUGCUUGUGUUAACAUCCAUUUCAUAAACAGAACCAAACAUAAAAUUGUUUAUGGAGAAAAAAAAACUGAAAAUCCAAAAAGAUUAAAACAAUGACAUCAAAUAGUUAUAGUAUAAUUUGUUGCUGAAAAAGGACACAAACAAAGCAAAAAUAUAUGUGAUAAAAUUUUAUAUGAAAUGAUUAAAAGUCUACAAAAAUAAGAAAGCAUGCCUAACCUUCAAUCCUUACAUCGAUCACUCUCAAGUCACUACAUAUAAGAAAUAAAAGAGCAGAGACUACAUAAAAAUAUACUCAGGGGUACAAACUAUAUAAACUAUAGAAUAAGAAAAACCAUAUCCCCAAAUUCAAUAACAAUACUGUAGAUUCAAAAUUCUUGUUCAGAUUCAAAACCCUAGAUUCUACUUUCAAUUUUAAUUAACACAAAACUAACAACAAAACUCUAAAUUAUGUCUACGGAUUUUGGAUUUUGAAACAAAUACAUUGUGUCUAAGUCUUUUAUAAGAAGCAAAAAAGGAGAUACAUACUUAUCAUAAGGAUCGAAAGUGGAAGAAUUUUUUUAGUUCUUUUCUUCUUGUGGUGGAUGGCCCCUCCUGCAUCGAAAAAACAAUCUUUGUAGUCUCAUGAUAUUUUUUAUGGAUCUUUUUUUCUCUAGCUAAACCUUAAUUUUUUGUUGCCUAUGAGAACCAAGAAAAAAAAAAUUUAUCUAAAAUUUUUUUGUGACUUGCCAUGAGAUGAAGAAGGAAACCAACUAAAAUCAAAGGAAAAACAUUUGAAAUACCCAAAACACCCUUCUAUGACCAUUCAUGCAGCCAACAAAUCCAAGGCUAAAAUUGUCACUCAACUAUUAAAAUCCGCGAUAAAUAUACUUAUAGUCUACAGUGCACACAAUCAGC